CAAUAAGCGGAGGAAAAGAAACCAACAGGGAUUGCCCUAGUAACGGCGAGUGAAGCGGCAACAGCUCAAAUUUGAAAUCUGACUACUUUGUAGUCCGAAUUGUAAUUUGCAGAGGAUGCUUUUGGUGAGGUGCUUUCUGAGUUCCCUGGAACGGGACGCCAAAGAGGGUGAGAGCCCCGUACAGUUAGAUACUAAACCUUUGUAUAGCUCCUUCGACGAGUCGAGUAGUUUGGGAAUGCUGCUCUAAAUGGGAGGUAUAUCUCUUCUAAAGCUAAAUAUAGGCUAGAGACCGAUAGCGCACAAGUAGAGUGAUCGAAAGAUGAAAAGCACUUUGAAAAGAGAGUUAAACAGCACGUGAAAUUGUUGAAAGGGAAGCGCUUAUGACCAGACUUGUCUCUAUCAGUUUUGGUAGUUUUCGGACUGCUUUACUUCUGUUAGUACAGGCCAACAUCAGUUUGUUGUCGGGGAGAAAGGCUCAGGGAAUGUGACUCCUUCGGGAGUGUUAUAGCCCUUUGCAUAAUACCCUUCAGCAGACUGAGGACCGCGCUUCGGCAAGGAUGUUGGCGUAAUGG
rnacentral:rRNA from 1 species